UACGAAGGGGACUAGCGUUGUUCGGAAUUACUGGGCUUAAAGGGUGCGUAGGCGGACCCGCAAGUGCUUCGUGAAAUCCCACGACUCAACCGUGGAAUCGCUUGGCAGACUGCGGGUCUUGAGGUCGGUAGGGGCCGCCGGAACUCUAGGUGGAGCGGUGAAAUGCGUAGAUAUCUAGAGGAACGCCGAAGGUGAAGACAGGCGGCUGGGCCGAUUCUGACGCUGAGGCACGAAAGCGUGGGGAGCGAACGGG
rnacentral:rRNA from 1 species